rnacentral:rRNA from 1 species
GUGAGGAAUUUUCCGCAAUGGGCGAAAGCCUGACGGAGCAAUGCCGCGUGAAGGAUGAAGGCCUAUGGGUUGUAAACUUCUUUUCUCAGAAAAGAAUUUUGACGGUAUCUGAGGAAUAAGCAUCGGCUAACUCUGUGCCAGCAGCCGCGGUAAGACAGAGGAUGCAAGCGUUAUCCGGCUUGAUUGGGCGUAAAGCGUCUGUAGGUUGUUUAAAAAGUAUUCUGUCAAAGAUUAGGGCUUAACCCUAGAUAGGCAGAAUAAACUUUUAAGCUAGAGUUUGGUAGAGGCAGAGGGAAUUCCCGGUGGAGCGGUGAAAUGCGUAGAUAUCGGGAGGAACACCAAAGGCGAAGGCACUCUGCUGGGCCAAUACUAACACUGAGAGACGAAAGCGAGGGGAGCAAAUGGGAUUAGAAACCCCAGUAGUCC